GACGAACGCUGGCGGCGUGCUUAACACAUGCCAGUCGAACGGAAAGGCCUUCUUUCCCUUGUGGUUUGCGGGUACUCGGGUGGCGAACGGGUGAGUAAAACGUGAGUGAUCUGCCCCCAACUUGGGUAUAAGCCUGGGAAACUGGGUCUAAUUCUCCAUAGGACUGCAGGGUGGUGCCUGUGGUGGAAAACGAUGUGCUAGUGGUUGGGGAUGAGCUCGCGGCCUAUCAGCGUGGUGGUGGGGUAAUGGCCUACCAAGGCGGCGACGGGUAGCCAGACUGGGAGCGUCGACGGCGGCAUUGAGACUGAGACACGGCCCCGACGCCUGCGGGAGGCAGGAGUGGGGAAUAUAGCACCAUGGGCGGAAGCCUGCUGCAGCGCGGCGGCGAGGGAGAUGACGGGCUUCGGGUGGUAAACUCCUGUCGAACGAGAGGAGGCCACCUGGUUGGAAGGGUGGUGACGGUAGUGGUAGAAGAAGCACCGGCUAACUACGUG
rnacentral:rRNA from 1 species